CCCUCGAACAGCUCCUGUACUGAGCUGCAGUCGAGCUCUCAGCAUUGAGGACACGCAGCCCAAGUGACACGGUGAAGAUGAUUUAGCCCUGUCAUCUUUCGGUGCUGCUGAGCCUUGCAUAAUUGGGUGAGCACAUCCAGAUACAGAGCAGCCUUCUCCUUGUUCCCUGCACGCAGCUGGCUCUGUGCCUUCAGGCAGGACUGCUGCAGGAAUGAACCUUCUUCAGCCUUCAGCUAGGUCUGCAGUACCUGGACCAGUCUCUUCCUGGCAGCGGGGAGAAGCUGGGAACAAUCACACUCUAGGCACGGAUCCACAGUGCCUGACAAUACUUCAGUGUACCUGGAGAGCCUUCACCCAUAUUUAAUGGGAUUGUUUGUCACAGACUGGAUAUCUUCCCAACAAGGGGUUCACUUUCAGCUGUGUGCUGAUUUCCUAAGUGUUUUCCCUGGAGUCUUCUGUUUCUGAUCCUGCAUGUCUGCGUCGCUGG